UUUUUUUUUUAUCAACAACAAAGGUGAGCAAAGGUACUGUUUGAUGGUACACAAUGUGAAACCUCGAGUUUGCAAUACUUCAAAUGGAAAUGAAGACCAAACAAAGUUUUAAAAUGAAAACCAUACUGUGCAAAAACACAAAAUAUAAACCCUAUCACUGACCAGGUCUGGAGGUUACAGGGUUUGACAAUGUGCCUAAAGACACUAACUUUUGCUUUUAUUAUAGACACGUGGAGGGGUUUUCAAAUCUGCCUCUGUCAGUAGCUAGUAAUUGGCUUCUGUUAUACACAUUUUUUGUUUCUCUUUCCCUGCAUUUCCUCUAUUUACCCACCAGAUGUCACCACUUUGUCCCCAUCUCCACUUGUUAGCUACCCAUUGUGUCCACCUGUGUUCAAUCACCCCCCUUUGUCUCAGUUUCUGUUUGAUUGUUGACCCCGUGUGGUCUGUUUCCCACGCUUGGGUGUCUCUAAUCCCCUAUCUUGAGUAGUCCUGUGUAUGUUUUUCCUGGGAAGACUUUGUAACUUUUGCUCACGUUCUUGGUCACAAUCGGUGAUGUUUGAGCCUAGCAAGCUCCCAUAAUUGCUGUACCACUCCUUGUAAUCCUUGAGUUCCACAGAUCUGGGGUCAGACACGUUAAACGAUGGCCACCAGGGCUGAGCUGUGCCGGAUGCAGCCAUCUCUGAUAUUGUAUUCACAUUUCUGUGAGAAAACAAAGUUUUACAAAAAUUAAAGCUGAAUUGGGAUUUGUUACAA